CGGAAACUAAACACUGACGCACAGGUGAGCUGCUUCUUGAGAGGAGGCUGGACUCCACCUGAAACAGUUCCUGCGAGAUGAUGGCAUUCAUGCUGUGGACUGGCCCGCCUGUUCCCUGAACCUAAUUGAGCAUAUGUGGGACAUCAUGUCUUGCUCCAUCCACCAACGGCACAUUGCACAACAGACUGUCCAGGAGUUGGUGGAUGCUUUAGUCCAGGUAUGGGAGGAGAUCCCACAGGAGACCAUCUGCCACCUCAUCAGGAGCAUGCCCAGGCAUUGUGGGGAGGUCAUACAGGCAGGUGGAGGCCACACACACUACUGCGCCUCAUUUUGACUUGUUUGAAAGACAUUACAUCAGUUGGAUCCAGACCUCCAUGGGUAGCUACAUUUGAUUUCCAUUGAUAAUUUUUGUGUGAUUUUGUUCAGAGCACAUUUAACUAUAUAAAGAAUAAAGUAUUUAAUAAGAAUAUUUCAUUCAUUCAGAUCUGGGAUGUCUUAUUUUUGUGUUCUUUUUAUUUUUUGAGCAGUGUUUAUAUAUCAGGAAAAAUCAAGCUUCAUUCAAAAAACAAAUGUCACAAAUAUGUCCUGUGAAAUUACGGAGUCAUUGUGAAUAGCCACAUUAACAAUAGGUGAGACUGAAGAAUAUUUUUAAACACAAAAUAUUUACAGAAAUUUUACUUGUCCAAUGUGCAAAGGCAUUAAUACUUAUACUAAGUUCCCUUACUCCUGCCUGUGGCAUAUACUCUACAUACAUGAAUUAUUAAGAAGACUAAAGCAGCAUAUGAAACAUAAUUCACCUAUUAUGUUUCAUCAUAAUACCAUAAUAGAUCAAGCAGUUUGUCCAGAUCAAUUAAAACAAGGACAAACAGUCUGAAAAUCUGUUUUUAUCCUAGAGCUGCACAAUUAAAUGCUGAAAUAUCCUGAAUGAUUGUUAAUGAAUCCAUGCUGUAAUUCUUCUUUGUUCAAAAACAUGCAGGCUGUUGUCAUACUGUCUAUACUGUUGUUUGACUUCUUUGUAAAACCCAAAGACAAACUGAUUGUGUUCACCUCAAUUUAUUUCAGAUUUUCACAACAGUUGACUGAUAAAAUCUUUCGUGGAACAUUUUCUUGACCUUUAAAUGUAUAAUGGAAUAUCCAUGUUUGUUUGCUUUUUAAAUGAUUUGAUACUAUUGUCUAUAACUUCAAGAAAGGUGUUUGUUUUAAAUGUCUUGUCAGCAUUUGUGAGUCCACAUGCAAACAUUUCUUACUGAUCUGAAGAUAAGCUCUACAGUAUGAAGCUCUCUGACUCUGGAACAUCCUUCACACAUUGCCCCCAUUCAUCUGACGCUGUGUAAGCUCCCUUAGCUUUGUGUCAUAAUAAUCUGGUUGUAGCUGAAUCUCAAGAUGAGAUAAGUGAAUUUACCCUAAUUUUAAUAUUUGGGUCAGAAUGAGCUCUCAGAAUCCAGUAAUCCAGUGUUUUUGCAAAAGACUGACAACAAUUUGUCUUGGUUACCCUCUCUGAGUACGUUUAAACACUUUAUGAUUAAACCUUAAGUGCACGUAAUUAG